GAGUUUGAUCUUGCUCAGAACGAACGCUGGCGGCAGGCUUAACACAUGCAAGUCGAACGCCCCGCAAGGGGAGUGGCAGACGGGUGAGUAACGCGUGGGAAUGUGCCCCGAGGUACGGAACAACAGCGGGAAACUGCUGCUAAUACCGUAUGUGACCGUGAGGUGAAAGAUUUAUCGCCUUGGGAUCAGCCCGCGUCGGAUUAGCUAGUUGGCGAGGUAAAGGCUCACCAAGGCGACGAUCCGUAGCUGGUCUGAGAGGACGACCAGCCACACUGGGACUGAGACACGGCCCAGACUCCUACGGGAGGCAGCAGUGGGGAAUCUUGGACAAUGGGCGAAAGCCUGAUCCAGCCAUGCCGCGUGGAUGAUGAAGGCCUUAGGGUUGUAAAAUCCUUUCGUCGGGGACGAUAAUGACGGUACCCGAAGAAGAAGCUCCGGCUAACUUCGUGCCAGCAGCCGCCGCAGUAAG
rnacentral:rRNA from 1 species